GAAGGCAGCUGUCGGAACGUGCGCAGGAUAGAUUUUCCCCACACAAUUACCUCGAUACAGCCAGCGGCGCAUCUCGCCGCCGAAGAAGUCCGCAGUUCAUCAACGCAGUCCGCAGUUCCAUCUCUCUGCCACCUCCCACCCGCCUUCGCCUUGUGCGCUAUCGAGCUGCUACACUUCGGCACUUCCUCUGAUAAUGGUGUCCAGCCUGAAUGGGAUGUCUGUUGGAUAUUCGCUUGCCGACAAUACCAUGGAGUCCCCUACGAGGUCAGAGGGUCCCUCUUGCGUCGGGUUUGUGUGAUAUGAUUCUGUGUAUAUUUCCUGUGCACAUUUCGUCCAUGGUAGUUUCAUGUAUACUUCUCUUAUCGCUUGUCGAAAAUCAGAAAUGGAAUAUAGAGAUAUGAUGUAUAUACUCUUUUGAUCCUGCACUAUCGAGUAGGAUUACUGUUGGUUGGUUCCUCAUUUAUUUCAGCUAUACUAUGCACUUCUUUUGCCCACAAGGUGUCUAUUGUUCCAUCUUAUCCACAAAGUUUUUAAUAAAACUGUAAACAUCCUAAUUUCCUUGUUAAUCUUUUGAGAAACGCAGUCCAUUUUCUUGGAUUUUAGAUAGCUGCAGAUGGUAUUGGUGUCAGACUGUCAGUAAGGUGUGGCUUCUGUUUCAAAUAUUUCAGCAAUUACCAGACUCCCCCAAAAAAUUAAGAUUUGUGGAUGGUUGCUUCAGUGUGAUUGCUAUUAAAUUUUAGCUAGCGGGAUGCCAUUUCCAUCCAUUCAUCUCUUCCUCAAGCUUGUCUGAAUGCUAUGAUACACAUUAUGGCCUCUUUGUGACGAAAACGAAGAACAAGGUGGCCUCUUUGUUUCACUGAUAUAGUUGACCUCUUUUGCAAAUGCAAGAAGAUGAAGCAAAUCUGUAGAUUAUUGCAACUAUCAGAAAUGGGCAAGCGCUUGCGGCAGGGCAAGGACACCUCCAGGACAUAUUGAAAAGCCCUGGCAGUACUUCAAGUUGUGCAAAUCACUUCAGCCAUGUGAUGUACUCCCUCCGUAAAGAAAUAUAAGAGCGUUUAGAUCACUAAAAUAGUGAUCUAAACACUUUAAUAUUUGUUUGCAGAGGGAGUAUUUAUCUGCUGGUUGUAAAUCCAAAACAAUAAGAUGUGCAUCAAGGGAGGUUGCUCGCGCGUGCCACGUCGAAUGCGUGGGUUGGGCAAGGAAUAAGUAAGAGGGAAAAAAAGAAAGAAAGGAAAAGUUGUCGAGCGAAACCCUCACACCGCACGUCCUCCACCUCCCUUCGCCUCCAGCGCCCCUCCUCCCUCUCCAGCGCCACCACAGCCGCCUGGGCGACGCUCCCACCCACCACCCAUGGUUGAGGUCGGCGAAGCGGCCCAUCGCGCGGCGCCUGGGGACGUCGCCUCCCUCCGCCGCCAGCAGCGGCGACCGGCUAACAUGCGGUCGUCGCCGCCAAAACCGGAUGGCGUGCUGUCCGGCGAGGGGCCCGACCUGCCGCGCGGCAUCGCCUCCUCCACAUCCGCCCGCGGAUCGAGCUCCACAACCUCCAUCCCGACCUGCCUUUCCCUCCUCUCGCUUGUCAGAAAGGAGUGCAGGCCGCUGUUGCCCCACACGAGGUCAUCCUCCUCUUUGGUUUUGCUGAUUCCGAUGGCGUUGGCUCGACCUACAGUUUAUACCGGAACUUAAUCUGAAGGUCAGGACUUCAUGCCCUUUUCUCUUGAGCUGAAACGCAUGCAAGCAUGGCUGUUGACCGAGCCCCCUAAUUCAACUAUUCAGGUACAGAUUGAUUGGGUCAUGUCUGUAGUUUUUUUCAGUGCUGCAGGUUCAUGUUCUUGGGGAAAAAUCGUUGUCUAUUUCCUAUAUUGGUGAUGCGGGUGAACUGAUUUGGGUAUUAUAAUGAGCUUUUUCUCUUUGGUAAUUUCAUCAUCCACGAAUAUGUCGAUGUUAAAGCAUUUGGUCAUGAUGGAUCAUUUUACUGGUUCUCAGUUCAACUCAAGAUGGCUCAGAUAGGACUAAGUUUGAAUAUUCAUGUGUUGGAUAGGGGUUGGGGUUGGUCUCCUGCACAAGAGGUGAAGUUCAUUUAUGUAAAUUUGUGUCCCGUGGUCAUAUAUUGGCCUGUAGAAUUUAUCAGAUAUGUGAAGGUGCAAAUUGGAGCAGAAGAUUCGUCUAUGAUGCAGCAGCUCAAAGCUGAAGAUUUCGAAGGAUGUCAUAUCUGAGCAGAUAGCUGAUCUGGUUGGGGAUGCUGGUAAUACGGUUGUUGUUAUAAAGUCUAAAAGCUACAUGGGAAGAUCUCAGCAAAUACUUUAAGCCGCAAAGUAUCAAAGGGGAUUUCACCCUCUUGCCAUGCGCUGAGCCGCGGUGGGAGAAAGUGGGUGGCAGCGAGCCAGUGGAUUGGUCAUUGGAUAACUGCUUGUUGUAUUUCACAAUGAGGACAUUUGUUUGGGGGGUGUAUCCUAGAGUUAAGGAUGCUUGGAUGGAAGUGGUGGCCUCACAAAGGCACCCUAAUGUGCGUAGGCAAGAUCGAAAUGCACAAAUACCUGCUCAGGUAUUUUCCAGUUAUUUUAACUUCUUGCAAUAUGUUUGCUGACACUUACUCGAUUCAGAUACAGUAUGUUGGCUGAAUCUUACUCCGUUCAGAUAUCUCUCUUCUUUGGCUCUUUGCUUUGGCUCGGAUAUGUCUUUGCAAAAGAAUUUUUUGCCACCAAUUAAUUUGCAAGGGCACAUAGUAUUUGUAGCAGCGUACAAAAACUCAAUUCACCUCAUGCUUUUGUAGAAAUGGAUUGUCGCACGAAGUUGUCUCAGUUAGUAGACUAUAUUUGUUAACGUAUAGUUAUUUUUUGUGAGAAGUAAACAUAUAGUUUUUUGACGGCAGUAUACUUAUAUAAUAUUCUUAUUGUUGAGAUACUAAAAACAUUUUGGUUAAUUAUUACUUACUGUGACACUUCAGUAAGUCUUUUGAGUAGGCAAAAUCUCUCAAUUUAUAUUGCCAUAAUAGGCGAUGUCUCAUUCAUGGCAUCAAAUACAGCUUAUUUUAGAAUGGUACAUAUGUAAUGUUUGGCUUCCUUAUAUCAUGUAUGCUUUCCGUUUGCUGUAAACUAAUAGUUAGGUUGUAGUGUUUUCAUUCGCUCUUGGAAGUCAUAUCACAAGCACAUCCGUAGCUAUUGGCCUUGAACAUUUCACCUUCCAGGUAACUCGGAUGCUCACUACCACUCAGAAUCAGUGACUUGCCUUCUUACUAUGAUUUUUUUAGAAAACCUUCUUGUACUUGAUAAUGCGUCUUUUUAUGACACAUACGACUGUUUCUCCAGCACUGAUUUCCAAGCAACAAAAGUUGUGCCAAUGUAUGAUAAAUUUAUAUUUCUAGGCUACUCUCAUGUUAAUGUUGCUGUUUAUACAACUUAAUUAACAUGGGUCAUCGUCAUGUGUAAAUCUUCUGCUUUGAAUUCUCAUUUUGAUUUUCCACAAACUAUUUCUUUCCGGUAAAUUUAUAUUUCUUAUUGUAUUUACUAAAUGUCGAUUUGGGUAACCAUGCAUCAUACAAUUCAGAUUUUAGUUGCAGUCACUCUCAUCAUCAACGCUCAACAAUGGCCUCUUCUUCCGGUGCCCGAAGCAGCCGCAUACCCAUAUGCCUCGUGCUGAUUCUCCUGAUCGCCUGCGAGAAGUCAGCCAUCAUGCCGGUCGGCCAGCAAUGUGAAGGACCAGAUGAUCGUUGAUAAAUACGCGCUGUUCUGAUCAGAACUAUUGAUUUAUUGCAGUACGAUGUUGCCUCUUCAGUACAUCUGUGUUAGCUCUUUCUGUUACUAUCCAUUCUGUAAGCUCUAUUUGACAGGAAAAAGCCACUGAAGUUAGCGUUGCGUGCCUGAAAGUCUACAAGUAGUAGUCUGACAAGAGGGCGUUUUGAAAGAUGUUUGCUUGUUGUAGCUAUACCAGUUAUACCUCUACGGUAGGUAGCACUAGGGCAGCCCGGUGCAUGUAGCUCCCGCUUGCGCAGGGUCGGGGAAGGGUCCGACCAUUUUGGGUCUAUAGUACGCAGCCUUUCCCUACAUUUCUGUAAGAGGCUGUUUCCAGGACUUGAACCCGUGACCUCAUGGUCACAAGGCAGCAGCUUUACCACUGCGCCAAGGCUCCCCUUCUCUACGGUAGGUAGCACUGUGUUUUAUUAUUUUUGUGGAUUUGGGGAGGAUUUUUAGCUCACUCUUUUUUUGUACCAAAUUAUCUGCAUUUGGCAGUGCUUUCAUAUUUCCCUUCUUUGGCUCUGAUGCAAUUAAACUUUGUUAUUGUAUGUUGAAAUUUCAGGUGAUGACCAAUCAAGAGGUUGUUGAUGAGAUCAACACCAGAGGGGCGGACAGGCAGCUGCGAAGCAUCUGACGGAGCAACUGGUGAAUAGGAGGAGCGAAGACAACAUCUCUUGCGUCGCUGUAAACGUCCGCUGCUAUGAGAGCUUCAGUCAGUGAAUAGGAGGAGCAAAGACAACAACUGCUUCGUCAUCGUAAACUUCCACUCUUGGCCGAGCUUCAACCUGCUAGCCCCUUAUGCGUACAAUUAGUUAUAUGCCAGAUUGGUUUUACAAUUUUUUCUGUAGUUAUUCAUACGAUGUAGAGUUUAAUAUGGUUGGGGAUAAUCCACCACCCAAUGGGAUUAAGGUCUCUAAAAUAUUGUUGUUUGUUUGGUUAUCAGGUGUAAAUUCUAUUGCAAGUUCCUUAUAUGUGCAUGUUCAUCAAUCUGAAAAAAAGGAGGUGAAAAGGUCGCUCGUCAA